AAUUGUGUUCAGAAAGCACGAGGCACAAGAGAGUGGAGAGUGUGCAACCCUUGAGUUGAUGAUUCGUGUUUUGAAGCAUGUGCAAGUUCAAGCCUGGAUCAGUUGCCUGAAUUUUUUCAUCUUACAGUUGCUUUUGUGUCAGCAUGUUUCUUCUACAACACCUCAAUGAAGAGUCAAACCUUUACCACUGCAAGACUACUGAAAUGAGAAAAUGGCAAAAUAGGAAGAAGGACUUCAGAAUUAAGAGCAUCUUCUGAAUUAUAAAUAGAUUGUACGUGCUAAGGCCUCUGAUACUGGCUCCCGUAAGAGAUGCUGCCUUCUCAUAGACACACCGAUGAAGUGCAGGCUAGGUAAGUGGACAGUAAAGUGUGGGCUAGAUG
rnacentral:lncRNA from 1 species